UGCAUAUCGCCAAGUAAAGGACAACAAUAACACGAGUGGUGCGGGUAGGAAACAAUGGAAGUGGUUCGACUUGUUGGACCAGAUUUACGGCCAUAGACCGGCCAACGUUGGGAGGGAGGGAGGCCUGGACUCUGCAACGGCUUUACUGGAGUCCCUGCAAGAUGAUUACAUUGGGACUAGUGAGGAGGAACAUUCCCGAACAACGGGUGAUGGCAGUGUUCCGUCCACAACAUCGUCAUCGAAUCCAGAACGGACCCCAGCUCGACCACAGACACCAGCCGAAGAAUCGACACCAACUCAACCACCAACGCCGAGUGCCAUCACGACACCGCAGCGUGUGGUUCUAGGCAAGAGGAAACGAGGAGGAGAGGAUCGGGCCCAGCAGGAACGGCACCAUGAACAGCACA